CGGCCCAGGCGCGCACUUCGUGCUCACUAAGCGCUCAGGGUAGGGAUCCAGCGGUCGUUACCAUGAUCAUCAGGACAGCGUUCCCUGUCCCCACUGAGCCGUCAGGAAGCCAUUUAUGACCCCAGAUGCCUGAGAUGUCCUGCUUCUCUAGACUGCUGCUUCAUAUGGGGUCUGCACCAGGGUUGUCUAAAAUUAUACAUAUCAAGAGGAAAACUCGGAAGAUUUAGAUCUUCAUUUCUUCCAUAGUUGAAGAAGAUACCUCUUCCACCUUGGCAAGGCUCUUUGGCAUCCCACCCUGGAAGGAUAUGGCCAAGUUUGAUGAGAAAGGUUGACCCCACUUUGGGGCAGGAUCGCACCUGGAACGGUGCAGGCAGGCCUCUGGCUUGCCCCAAGCGCUUCCCAACAUGCCUGCUUUUCCCGGAAGAAAGUGUGAGAUGCCCAAACGGACCAUAUGGUUUGGAGCGAGAGCCUUGGAGCCCACAGACAAUGGGGAAGUGAGAGGCCCAGGAAGAGACUGAGGCUUAAGGAGGUUAAGACACAUGCCCGAGGUCAUGAGGUCGGCAGGCAGUAGAGUCAGAGAUGGAACCCAGGGCUAUCUGGCUUCAGUGCCCAUGAUGUUGACCACUCAUCAUCCUCCUUCUGCCCCUUUCUUCCUUUCUGUGAACGCCCACUCUGUGGCAGCUCCACCUAGGGUCUGGGGACAUGGAAUGGAAACCACAGCCCUACUCUGUAGCGGGGGGGGGCGGGUGGUGGCUGUUGCAGGUGUGGAGGUGGGGGACAUUGAUUCGAAUGUAUUUUAAAGUGUGAAGUGAGUGCCCUGCUCUUGCAUAUGUGGUCAACUUCCCAGCUCCAGGGAAGUCUGGGCCGAAGAGAGAAUGAAUCAGGCGUGAGAGGUUUAGCUCUGCAUGGCGCAAGGCUGUGUGCUUCUGAGAGGAAUGUGUCUAAGGUGCGUCUCUCUCUAGGCAAGGGGACAUUUCCUGACUUGGCUGGACAGAUCACAUAUCUGACUUGGGCCUGACCCCCAUAGGAUGGUUUUGUGUCAUGCCCAAACCCACAGCACUCUCUGAAUCACGCCUUUUGUGCCAGAGGAGACCUCUGCACCUGCUGGAGUUGGAGAUGUCUCUUCCCCUUAUGAGACAGAUCUGUGCAAACGUGCUUCUCUAAGCAGUGGACACGGGCAGCCUUUCCAGUCCCAGACAGAAAACAGACAUCCCCGGAACACUCAUGGGGGCGGGAAAGAGGAGGGACUCCUCAAAGCAGAGUGGGGGCUGAGCGGUUGCUGGGGACAAGGCACACCUGGGUGGGUGACCAUCAGCAGAAAGAGACCUGGGACUGGUUCCAGGGAAAGCCAUUUGCAGUAACAGAGGCCAGAAGUGCACCUCCAUUGUUCCCAGGAAAUGACCCACGUGGCAUGUUUAGGGUGGGAAUGUGAGGGCCCCUGCCCUCCUCUCAGACCCUCAGCAGCCCUCUCAGUUGCUCCCCGCCAUCCCCUAAGUCCUGACUCUGCCCACUGAGCACUGGCAGUGGGUCUAGCUGAGGGUUGGGUGUAGAAGAAGACCCCAUUCCUGCCCUCAAAGAACUGGUAGUCUGUCCGGGAGUCGGAACAGAAGCAUGCAGAGCAGCCAGCGGCCCGCAUUUGCAUGCAACUCUGCCUGUAUGCGCUCACCCGCUCAGCCAAUCACCCGCCAGUCGUUUCCGGAGAGCCUCGCAGGUGCAGGGGUCGCUGUGUGUAGUGCUGGAAAACCCAACGGAGCUGCUAUUCUGGAACUCUCCAACAGGAAAACAGACCACAGUCACAAAAAUGAAGAAACGUUUAAGAUGACAGCAGGGGGUAACGAGUGCUAAAUAAGGGUGCCGUCGUGAGGAAGAACAGGAGAGACCUACUCCAGCUGAGGCGGCAGAGACCUCUGAGGAGGUGACGUGGAAGCUGAGACCUGAAGGAUGAGAAGGAGCCGGCCACGGAGAGAGCUAGAGGGAGAGCGUUCCAGGCAGAGGCCCGAGCAAGUGCUGACUCGGGGGCAGGAACAGGCUUGUAUUGUGUGAAGAACUGAUGGAAGACCAGGGUAUGUUAAGAGAGCCUUCAGGAGUGAGGUGCCAACCUUGGACAAACAAUGCAUAUCAGCAUAACAUGAGUAAGAACAGGCGUCUACUGAUCGCUCACCAGGUGCCGAACGCUGUGCUCAUGGUACACCUGAUUUACUCCUCACACCAGCUGGAUGAGGUGUGCACUGUCAUACUCCUAGUCAUGCAGAGGUCAGACAGGCGAAGUCAGUUGCCAAAGGUCGUGGAGCAAGUCAGCGGUGUAACUGGGUUUUGAACAUAAGUCUGAUUCAGGACCCCAGGUUCAUAACCAUUAGGUGAUUCUGUCUCCCAAUAUGUAGUACAAACUGCACACACCUGCUACAUGGAAAGGACAGAGAAGGGAGGAACCAGAGAAAAUUGUAGUCAUGGCCUACAGUGUAGGCUGUUGGGAAGAUCAUGUAGAGAGAAGUGUGGACAAUCAUAUACUGAAAAGUCAUUAUUAAAGCUAUACCGCAUCCUAAGGAGUUCAUUAUUCUUUGAUGAGCAGGGCUUCCUUUAGAGCAUCUUAGCUGUCUAAAGGUGGAAAACAGCGCUACCUGUUGGUGAAAAAGGGUGGUGGUUGUACGACAACUCGAGAACACUUGGGUCCAUCCCUGGUGAAGCGUUUCUCGGUCACCCCCAGGAUGUGCAGGCUUGCACUGGGCUGGUGGGUGAGGAUGUGGCAAGAGGAGUGGGCUGAGGGCUGGAGGGAAUGGAGAACUCGGAGGCACAGCUUUGCCUCCGGAAUAGAGAGGGCUGAGUCGGGAGGUUGGGCUCCCCACUGUCUUCCUCAUGGGCACACCAGGGGAUCUCAGAAAAUAAAAAUGGGGAUGUGGAAAAAGUGAGAGAUCUAGGAAGGCUCGAGAAGCUGGGAGAGGCUCCAGCAGAGAGGCAAAACCUGAGCAAGCAAGUAUUUGUGCAUAACUGUGAAAUGUUGUAAGUUCUUCACUGCAGUAUUGUUUGAAAUUUAAAAGGUGGAAACGACCCAUGUGUCCAUCAGUAGAGGGUUGGUAAAUAUGUUGCAUGCUUAUCACGGAAUGCUACACAGCUGUAAGAAAAUAAGGAGCAAGCUGUUUAUACAGUGAUAUGGAAAAGUCCCCUAGGUGUAUAAAGAGAGCAAAACAAAACAACAGCAAAGAUUAAGGCGUAGAACGGUGUGCACGGUAUGCCAUGGUUUAUGUAAAAGGAAGAGGGGAUAGAAAAUAUUUACCUUGUUUGUCUGAGCCAAAGGGAACUCUGGAACAUGCACAGGAAACUGUUAACACAGCGGUUGCCUGAGUGAGUGGGUGGGAGACAGGAAUGGGAGGGAGACCAAUCAUCUUAUAUCUUCUUAUUCUUUUUAAUUUUUAAAUUAAGUGUAUAAAUCCCAUAUUCGGGUUAACUUUUUUUUUAAAAUACAUUUAUUUAUUUUAUUUAUUUAUU